rnacentral:lncRNA from 1 species
AAAGGAAUACAAUUCAGACAGAAAUUUGUCAAGAAGACCCGCAGAGGCUGAAGAAAUAACAUCACAAAUCAUGAGUCUACCCAAGGGCACGUCUGUUCCCAAGAAUUUAUCUUUGGUUUUGCUACCCAGAAGAAAAAGAAGACCCUGGUGGCACUGUGUGCUCAUAAAACAAAAGAGAAGAAAUAAAUUAUGAAAAAGAAACUUUCGGAGACAGGGAUAGUUCAUUUGAUUCUUGCAAUGAGGAGGGGACAAAUUACUGCAGGGAGCAGUGACUGAGAGCAUGGAAAUGAUGAUCAACCACUCUGGGGCAUGUGUGGUCUCUCUCUGCUCCUUCAUCUCAUGGAAACAUGUUUCUACGUGCAUGUAUUCAGCCACAGCCACACACAGACAGAGAGCUAAGUACCACCAGCCUAGGUGGGAGCUGGAAACUUGUGCAAGGAGGUGAAUCAGAGGCAGGCUACUUGUCCAGAAAUACUCUGUCCCGGAUCCCCAUCUCCAGCUGUGUCCUUUUGCAGUCAGACCAGCGGCUGCCUCCUCCUUCCUCCCCAGCCCAGCAGCACGGCAGGGACACGGCUCUGGGCCCAGGGACCACUGCGGGCAUCACUGGGCCAGCACAAGGUGAGCCUGGGGCAGAGGCACCGGCUGGACGGGUGCACAUUCUGGCUUUAUAUUUAUUUAACAAAGGAAACAGUAGCAUCCUUACUGCUUCCUAG